UACAGAGGGUGCGAGCGUUGUCCGGAAUCACUGGGCGUAAAGGGCGCGUAGGCGGCCUGCUAAGUCGGACGUGAAAUCCCUCGGCUCAACCGGGGAACUGCGUCCGAUACUGGUGGGCUCGAAUCCGGGAGAGGGAUGUGGAAUUCCAGGUGUAGCGGUGAAAUGCGUAGAUAUCUGGAGGAACACCGGUGGCGAAGGCGGUGAGCUGGGCAGUAGCUGACACUGAGGCGCGACAGCGUGGGGAGCAAACAGG
rnacentral:rRNA from 1 species